rnacentral:rRNA from 1 species
GACGAACGCUGGCGGCGUGCUUAACACAUGCAAGUCGAACGGAAAGGCCCUGCUUUUGUGGGGUGCUCGAGUGGCGAACGGGUGAGUAACACGUGAGUAACCUGCCCUUGACUUUGGGAUAACUUCAGGAAACUGGGGCUAAUACCGGAUAGGAGCUCCUGCUGCAUGGUGGGGGUUGGAAAGUUUCGGCGGUUGGGGAUGGACUCGCGGCUUAUCAGCUUGUUGUGGGGUAGUGGCUUACCAAGGCUUUGACGGGUAGCCGGCCUGAGAGGGUGACCGGCCACAUUGGGACUGAGAUACGGCCCAGACUCCUACGGGAGGCAGCAGUGGGGAAUAUUGCACAAUGGGCGGAAGCCUGAUGCAGCAACGCCGCGUGCGGGAGGACGGCCUUCGGGUUGUAAACCGCUUUCGCCUGUGACGAAGCGUGAGUGACGGUAAUGGGUAAAGAAGCACCGGCUAACUACGU